AGAGAUCUGAGAUGUUCGUGGCGUCCUAUCAGUGUUGACCGAACAAUUAUUUUUACUCUAGGGAUUCUAUGUGUGAGAUAGAAUAACAUGCCACAUCACAUGGAAGUUAGCCGAUCUGUCCAAGAAGCCCACCUGCUAAUUUGCGGGUUCAAACUCAAAGGAUGCAUGACACGGCAUCAUCGGAAAUCUA
rnacentral:other from 1 species